rnacentral:rRNA from 1 species
AUGAACGCUGGCGGCGUGCCUAAUACUUGCAAGUCGAGCGAACGGACGAGAAGCUUGCUUUUCUGAUGUUAGCGGCGGACGGGUGAGUAACACGUGGAUAACCUACCUAUAAGACUGGGAUAACUUCGGGAAACCGGAGCUAAUACCGGAUAAUAUUUUGAACCGCAUGGUUCAAAAGUGAAAGACGGUCUUGCUGUCACUUAUAGAUGGAUCCGCGCUGCAUUAGCUAGUUGGUAAGGUAACGGCUUACCAAGGCAACGAUGCAUAGCCGACCUGAUAGGGUGAUCGGCCACACUGGAACUGAGACACGGUCCAGACUCCUACGGGAGGCAGCAGUAGGGAAUCUUCCGCAAUGGGCGAAAGCCUGACGGAGCAACGCCGCGUGAGUGAUGAAGGUCUUCGGAUCGUAAAACUCUGUUAUUAGGGAAGAACAUAUGUGUAAGUAACUGUGCACAUCUUGACGGUACCUAAUCAGAAAGCCACGGCUAACUACGUG